rnacentral:rRNA from 1 species
AGCGAACGCUGGCGGCAGGCCUAAUACAUGCAAGUCGAACGGCUCUUCGGAGCAGUGGCGGACGGGUGAGUAACGCGUGGGAAUGUGCCCUUUGGUACGGAACAACACAGGGAAACUUGUGCUAAUACCGUAUGUGCCCUUCGGGGGAAAGAUUUAUCGCCAUUGGAGCAGCCCGCGUUGGAUUAGGUAGUUGGUGAGGUAAAGGCCCACCAAGCCUACGAUCCAUAGCUGGUCUGAGAGGAUGACCAGCCACACUGGGACUGAGACACGGCCCAGACUCCUACGGGAGGCAGCAGUAGGGAAUCUUGCGCAAUGGGCGAAAGCCUGACGCAGCCAUGCCGCGUGUAUGAUGAAGGUCUUAGGAUUGUAAAAUACUUUCACCGGGGAAGAUAAUGACGGUACCCGGAGAAGAAGCCCCGGCUAACUUCGUGCCAGCCGCCGCGGUAAGAC